AUUGAACGCUGGCGGCAGGCCUAACACAUGCAAGUCGAACGGUAACAGGAAGCAGCUUGCUGCUUCGCUGACGAGUGGCGGACGGGUGAGUAAUGUCUGGGAAGCUGCCUGAUGGAGGGGAUAACUACUGGAAACGGUAGCUAAUACCGCAUAAUGUCGCAAGACCAAAAGAGGGGGACCUUCGGGCCUCUUGCCAUCGGAUGUGCCCAGAUGGGAUUAGCUUGUUGGUGGGUAACGGCUCACCAAGGCGACGAUCCCUAGCUGGUCUGAGAGGAUGACCAGCCACACUGGAACUGAGACACGGUCCAGACUCCUACGGGAGGCAGCAGUGGGGAAUAUUGCACAAUGGGCGCAAGCCUGAUGCAGCCAUGCCGCGUGUAUGAAGAAGGCC
rnacentral:rRNA from 1 species